rnacentral:misc_RNA from 1 species
AAAAACAUUUAAUGAAAUGUCGGGGUGUGCUUUUUUGCACGCUCCGAGUAUUCAACCAACCCGCUCGUGUAUCUGAAUCAAACAAAACUAAAUAAAAAACUGAUAACAGUAAUUAAGAAA